GUUGUUUGCUUAUAUUUAUGAAUGAAGGACUAGAUAAAUUAUCAAAGGCUUCUCAGAAUUUCUUCUGCAACCAUGGAAGCCUGUUUCUCCACCAGUCCUCCCUUGAGUAAGUGAGUUGACUAUUACCUUUGCAUACCCAGGCAAGCUUUGGUGACAGGAACAUUUCAGCCUGCAGUACACAUGUGGGAAGCAGGAAGGAAGACUGGCUCCUCUCAUCUCCAUCCUUGACAGAAUGAGGAAGAUUCUGUAAAACUCUGCCACAAUGUGGAACGUUAAAGGAAAAUAAGACGUUGUCUCAGCACCAGGAUUCUUGUUCCUGAAGCUCUCAGCUUUUCUUAGCCAAGCAGCUUCUCAAUUCUGAGGGCACACUAAGCAGUGAGGACAUAGUUGUACAUUACCCUCCCCUGGCCUGUGAUGUAGACUCUAUUGCUGAGUCUAAGAAAAAAGAAGGUAUCUCCAAAAAUGUACCAAUACUUUACAGGUUGAGAAUGAGUCUGAUUUAUUUUACUUUUUUAUUUUAUUUUAUUUUAUUGAGAUGGAGUCUCGCUCUGUCACCCAUGCUGGAGUGCAGUGGUGCGAUCUCGGUUCACUGCAACCUCCACCUCCCAGGUUCAUGUGAUUCUCCUCCCUCAGCCUCCUGAGUACCUGGGAUUACAGGUGCCUGCCACCACGCCCAGCUAAUUUUUGUAUUUUUGGUAGAGACGGGGUUUCACCAUGUUGGUCAGGCUGGUCUCGAACUCCUGACUUCGUGAUCUGUCCGCCUUGCCUCCAAAAGUGCUGUGAUUACAGGCAUCAGCCACUGCGCCUGGCCAUAAGUCUGAUCUUUUUACAACACCCUGCAGUUCUUCACUUCUUUGACUGCUGCCCCAAUCUCAGCAUCAUGUGGAAAUAUGUAUACUGGACCGAAUGGAACAAGGGCUAUCCUUAUGGAGUGGACAGAAUGGGCUGGCGUCACCCUGCUUCAGGUAUACUGCUGAUCUUUGAGUUUCAUGAUCAAUAAGAACGUCACAAAUGCAAGAAAUGAUGUCUCUUGGACCACAGAGAAUAUCGUUAGCAGAAUUUGGCAUGGAGAAGGCAGAAUGGGAUUGGAAGUUCUCAGCUCUUUCCGUUGGAUACCGGUGGCUGCCAGCCUAACAAGGAGAGUCUCUUGGGAAUCAGCGAAAGCUCAAGGUUUGCAUGUGACCAGCUCAAUGACAGUGAACUGGGAAACCAUUGGCGAAGGCACCCAUGGGAUACGGCACCCUGCAGAGACGAAGGCAAAAAUGGAAACUGUCAUCGAUAUUACAGAGGUGCUGUCUGACAGCCCUGGUAUGUCAUCAUCAUCUGGGUGUCCCCACCGCUGAACACAGGGUGAGAUUCCCAUGCCUUACUAAGGACUUCCUUUUUCUAUGAACCUGGUGGGUUGCGAUUCAGUCUCUAGGGGACAGGUGUCCAUAGUACCAAAAUACUGUCCUUAUAACCACUGUUGAAUUCCUCUGAGACAGGAUUUCUGAGGCUGAGACCACUUUUCCAAUAAUCAGUCUAUCUGAAACUAAUGCAACUAAUCAAUUUCUUGCUUAUACACAGGAUUUUAAACGUCUUCCAGAAUAGAAACAAGUGUCAUUUAUUCAUUCGGUGAAUAUUUAUGAGGCUCCUACUGUAUGCCAAGCAUCAUCCUAGGCACUUUGGAUUCCACUGGAGAACAAGAUAGACAAAGAUCUCUGCUCUUGUCGAAUUGACUUUCUGGUAAGGUAGAAACAGAAAACAAUCAAUAAACACAAUAAACAAGUAAAUCAUACAAUAUGUGAGAAGGUGAUAAGUGCUAAGGCAAAAAAAAAAAAAGAGGAAAAUAAAUAAAGGUGGAAAAGAGGACUUAGAAAUGUGAGAGCUUGAUUCCUUGGAGAUAGCAAUACAUAAGUAGGGUCUGAAGGGUAGAGCUUCCAUUUCUGAGAGCAUAACCUUCAGGCAAACCAUCAAGAUUUUAAAUUCAAUGGAAUGCGAAGUUAAAAUUUGACUGUAUUCACCUCCUAUGCCCAACCUCUGCAUCCGACCUCAGGGAAAUGCCAACUUCAUUCUCAUUGCAUAAACAAGCAAAGAAGAUAGAAUUCUAUUCAAUCUCAAGGGGGAUCUGCUCUGUUGCCUUCAUAUUUUUCUUAUAAGGCAACAGGCUUAUGUCAUUUGAAAGAAAUAGAAAUUUAGACAAUACACCACUGUAACAAUCACUGAGAUGGUAACUGCCCUUGGAGGAAAAAUGAAUGAGGACAAAAGCAGGGAUUCCACUUGGAGGUCAUGGGGCAGGUUUUCAUGUUUGUCAUAGGGCUGACUUUUCACACUGAGCCUCCAAAUAAAAGUGGAUUUGUAUUUAAGAGAAAGUAAAAAAAGUAAUGUUUCUUUCAGUGAAUCUUGCACACAUUCACACAAUAGUUAUAUGCAUAUAUGUAUGUAUGUGUAUAUAUAUAUUUUUUUUUUAAAUGGAGGGCACACCAAAAUUUUAUAAGAGAGUAAUGGUAGGGUAUAUACAUAUAUAUGUG
rnacentral:lncRNA from 10 species